CGCAUCUGUGCAUGCAGCAUAUCAAUAAGCGGAGGAAAAGAAACUAACAAGGAUUCCCCUAGUAACGGCGAGUGAAGCGGGAAGAGCUCAAAUUUGAAAUCUUAAAGGGUUUCCCUUUACGAAUUGUAGUUUAAAGAAGUGUUUUCUGUUGAGGUUUUGGUAAAAGUUCUUUGGAAUAGGACAUCAUAGAGGGUGAGAAUCCCGUAUUUGACCUUUACUUUCAACUUUGUGAUACACUUUCAAAGAGUCGGAUUGUUCGGGAAUGCAGUCCAAAAUGGGUGGUAAAUUUCAUCUAAAGCUAAAUAUUGGCGAGAGACCGAUAGCGAACAAGUACCGUGAGGGAAAGAUGAAAAGAACUUUGAAAAGAGAGUUAAACAGUACGUGAAAUUGUCAAAAGGGAAGCGUUUGACACCAGUGUUGUUUUUCUGAAAAUCAAUUAAAGAACUGUCUAUGCUAAGUUGUUUAGACUUUAUCAGCUAUCUGUUUAGUUUUGAGCUUUUCUUUAAUGCACUUUUCAGUUAACAAGUCAACAUCAAUUUCUUUUGCUGUAAAAAAGCUUGAGGAAGGUGGCUUGAGAUUCGUCUUAAGUGUUUAUAGCCUCUUGCCUAUGCAGUCGGAGAGAUUGAGGUCUGCAACGUAGAUCCUUCGGGGCUAAAUGCAUUUGUGCUAAGUUAUAGCACUUUAUAGACAACUUGUUGACUAUGAUUUGUCUUGUAGCUUACUCGCUUAUGUUAUUUUACCUACGCUUAGGAUGUUGAACGCGCACAGAGUCUC
rnacentral:rRNA from 1 species